rnacentral:tRNA from 1 species
AUUUAAAUAGUUUAAUAAAAAUAUUGAUUUGUGGUGUCGAUGAUAUGAAUUAAUUCAUUUUAAAUU